CAGCACCUGCUACUGUACAGACAGAAAUAAACUCCUGAAACUACAGUCAUGUGGAAAUGAACCGGGAGACCCUUUAACAGCAUGCUGCUAGAAAUAACACCUGGUUAACCUGAGUUGAGGAACACCCCCCCCCCCGGUUGUUUCCUACCUAUGAGCGUCCCGUCAGGGCUGAGGAUGGGAGUAUGCUGACGGACCGGAGGACCGGAGGACAUCAGGCCCACUCUCUUUCUGUCUGUCUUGGCUUUGAUCUGAGGUACGAUGAUGUUGGCGCCGGGGAAGUCUUUGGUCUUACGCCUGCGCUUUCCUGUGUGAAAAAAGGCAAAGUGAUGGCGUUAACAGAUAGAAGAAAGGACAGAUGCAAAGAACAACAUCCUGGAACACAUAAAUGUCUUUUUAAAGUGUUGUUUUUACCAAAUUUGAUGAGAAAUGAUGGAAAAUAACACAAAUAACACAUGUAAAACCAAUGUUCAUGUGUGUUCCACCUCUGCCUGCUACAAUAAAAACAAUGAAUGAGUGUUAAAUUCUCA